UACGAAGGGGGCUAGCGUUGCUCGGAAUUAUUGGGCGUAAAGGGUAGGUAGGUGGUCUCAUUUGUCUGGGGUGAAAGCCUUGAGCUUAACUCAAGAAGUGCCCCAGAAACGGUGAGACUGGAGUCCUGGAGAGGGUCGUGGAAUUCCCGGUGUAGCGGUGAAAUGCGUAGAGAUCGGGAGGAACACCAGAGGCGAAAGCGGCGACCUGGACAGGUACUGACACUCAACUACGAAAGCGUGGGGAGCAAACAGG
rnacentral:rRNA from 1 species